rnacentral:rRNA from 1 species
CUACGGGCGGCUCCAGUUAGGAAUAUUCGUCAAUGGGGGAAGCCCUGAACGAGCAAUGCCGCGUGAGUGAUGACAGUCUUUUGAUUGUAAAACUCUGUUGUAUAGGAAGAAUUACUAAUAUAGGAAAUGCUAUUAGUUUGACGGUACUAUACCAGAAAGCCCCAGCUAACUACGUGCCAGCAGCCGCGGUAAUACGUAGGGGGCGAGCGUUAUCCGGAUUUAUUGGGCGUAAAGAGUUCGUAGGCGGUUUAUUAAGUCUGUGGUGAAAGACCGAAGCUUAACUUCGGUUUGCCAUGGAAACUGGUAGACUGGAAUACUGUAGAGGCAAGUGGAAUUCCUAGUGUAGCGGUGGAAUGCGUAGAUAUUAGGAGGAACACCAGUGGCGAAGGCGGCUUGCUGGGCAGUUAUUGACGCUGAGGAACGAAAGCGUGGGGAGCGAAUAGGAUUAGAUACCCUUGUAGUC